rfam:Heterocephalus glaber contig19886, whole genome shotgun sequence.
GGGGAAAUAGCUCAGUGGUGCAGCACUUGCCUGGCAUGCAUGAGGUCCUAGGUUCAAUUCUCAGUAUGCCAA